rnacentral:misc_RNA from 1 species
GAUGAAGAACGCAGCGAAAUGCGAUAAGUAGUGUGAAUUGCAGAAUUCAGUGAAUCAUCGAGUCUUUGAACGCACAUUGCGCCCCCUGGUAUUCCGGGGGGCAUGCCUGUCCGAGCGUCAUUGCUGCCCUCAAGCACGGCUUGUGUGUUGGGCCUCCGUCCUCCUCCCGGGGGACGGGCCCGAAAGGCAGCGGCGGCACCGCGUCCGGUCCUCGAGCGUAUGGGGCUUCGUCACCCGCUCUUGUAGGCCCGGUCGGCGCUUGCCGACACAUCAAUCUUUUUUCCAGGUUGACCUCGGAUCAGGUAGGGAUACCCGCUGAACUUAAGCAUAUCAUAAGCGGAGGA